rnacentral:tRNA from 1 species
GCCUUUUUAGUAAAAAAAAUACAAAUGACUUCCAAUCAUUUAAUCUUAGUAAAAAAAUCUAAGAAGAGGUA